AUUGAACGCUGGCGGCAUGCCUUACACAUGCAAGUCGAACGGUAACAGGUCUUCGGAUGCUGACGAGUGGCGAACGGGUGAGUAAUACAUCGGAACGUGCCUAGUAGCGGGGGAUAACUACUCGAAAGAGUGGCUAAUACCGCAUGAGAUCUACGGAUGAAAGCAGGGGAUCGCAAGACCUUGUGCUACUAGAGCGGCAGAUGGCAGAUUAGGUAGUUGGUGGGAUAAAAGCUUACCAAGCCGACGAUCUGUAGCUGGUCUGAGAGGACGAUCAGCCACAAUGGGACUGAGACACGGCCCAGACUCCUACGGGAGGCAGCAGUGGCGAAUUUUGGACAAUGGGCGCAAGCCUGAUCCAGCAAUGCCGCGUGCAGGAUGAAGGCCUUCGGGUUGUAAACUGCUUUUGUACGGAACGAAAAGCCCUGGGUUAAUACCCUGGGGUCAUGACGGUACCGUAAGAAUAAGCACCGGCUAACUACGUGCCAGCCGCCGCCGUAA
rnacentral:rRNA from 1 species